ensembl:lncRNA
CGAAAACUGCCUGCAGAGAGAGGAGAUGGGGAGGGCAGGGACCCUCUGCUUGGCUUCUCAGGAAAAUGCUACCAGGUGGGAAGAGAGGGUAAAAAAGCUCCAGUCUUCACCUUGGAUGUCAUCUCCCGGAUUCCAGUGCAGACUCUUCAGCUUCCUGCACAUAUUCUUCAGCCUUCUGGCGUAGACUCUUCAGCCUUCCAAUGCAGACCCAUCAGCCUCUGGAUAUGGACUUGCAUGGGACACUGCAGUGAGCUCCAGACCUUCAACUAAAUUCUUCAGUCUCCAGUGUGCAGGCAGACCCUCUGCAUUCUUCCUCAUCUGACUCUGUGGGUGGCCACUGUAAGCCAAUCUUGUAAAUUCUUAUAUAUUUGUAUAUCUUGUUUUAUAUCUGCUUCUCCAGUAAAUACUGACUGAUAUGCACACUGAUGCAAUCACACACCCAUAACCAUCAGUUCACAUGUACACUAACACACACAUGGGAUCAUGAGUACAAGCCUGCAUGGAUGUACAGACUGACAUCAAUUCAUAUUACAAAUAGCAUGUGCAUACACACACACACACACACACACACACACACACAUCACAAUGAACAAAUUCAGCUUCAGCAAAGGAUUCCUGCCAUCUUCCAUGUCCUUCCACCAAUAAUACCCCCUUCCUUGAAUCUUAGCUUGCUCAGGACAUGGAACUGCACAAGGCAAUAGUGACCUGAGCUAACCAAGGGUUCACUGUGCAGGAUGGGGUGGAGUUGGGGUCAUUAUCGCUUGUUCCCUCCCACAGAGUCCAGGGGCCAGGGCACCUGCACCUAAUUAGCUGUGCAGCUUGCUCCAUGGAACACUUGCCUGGAGCCGGCAGGCAGAGGGAGGGACAGCUAGAACAAUUCAGGACUGUGAUUCAGCCACCUCACACCAGGCCAGGCUGGCUCUCAGCUUGGUCUCCAGGGGGACCCAGGACCAAGCCACCCAUGGCCCCUGUGUCUCACUGGCCUCCUGGCCUGCAUGCCAUACACUCUGCUCUGCCUCCAAACAGCAUCGAGCAUGGUCCAUCUCUCAGAGAAGUCUUUCCCUGAGAUUCCCCGUUAAAAGGGGACUACUAACUAUCCUCAGGAUGAGAACUACUUCUUGUCAUAGCUGUCACCCCCUACACACACACAUGACCAGCUGUGCUCAUCUGGCUCCAUCUCUCCUUACUCCUCUUUCUGGUGUCCACUCCAUCACCUCCUCCUCCGGGCCUCUGAUGACGACUUAUCUUGAGCUCAGGACUUCCCACAUCCUCUCCCUCUCCACACGGGGCUUCCCUCCCACUCUGGCCUGACCAACUCAUGUCAUCUGGUCCCAGCAGAGAGUCACUGCUCCAGGAAUGUCCAUGACCUGUCUGCCUAUGCUCAGGCUCCUGCUGCCCCUGG